UAGAAUCUAGAGGCUCAGGAGGUCCCCCUACAUGGGUUCUGGCACCACGCGAGGGAGGUUAAGGAGGACAGUGGUGGAACCCUCCUGUCCCAGAGGCUCCAGAGACCCUCCAGGGAGGCUUGAAAGACAGAUUUCAACAAUCCAAAGACAGCUUCGCACCUAUGUAACAAACCAAGAAAGGACAGGAGACAUCAGCAAAUGGAAUCAUGGAGUCUGGGAAGAAGAAGAACAUCUAGGAGACAGCUAUGGAAGCCUUAAUUCUGCAGAUGGAUCUAACGACUUCAAGGAACUCUGGACAAAACUUAAGAGUAUCGUGAUAAGGAAGUACAAGAAAAAAGCCAUUUAUUCUGAGAAUCUAAAAUCUGGUCAAAAAAAAUUAAUGAACUUCAGAGAACACCCACAUGGAAUUUGUUUUCCCCCGUAAUAUACUGAUAAUCUAACAAGAAAAACAAAAGAAAACAUGGCCCCUUAAAACAGUGCUGUCCAGUCUGCCUGUGGUUAUGUGGUUGAAAGUUUCCAUGUUUACUGAGAGAUUCUUCAUCCGCCAUUGAUGCUAUCCUCCAUGCGAUACUAGCCAUUUACGGGAACAGUUUCUAGUGGCUCUCCUCCUAUUGGAUGCUCUUGACAUUUAAGUAUCAAUAUGUGACAAACAUUACAGUUAUUGAUGUCACCUUAUGGAGAGAAGAAUGAAUAAAAGAUGAAUUUCAAAAGUUUAAAAUCAAAAGAAAAAAGAAAGCAUGCUGAACAAGCCACAGGGAGCAAUCCAGUACACAGCACUCCUCCAUGGCCUCUGCAUCAGCUCCUGCCUCCAGUUUCCAGCAAUGCUUGAUUCCCUGUCCUAACUUCUUCAGGGAUGGAUGCCAAUUUGGAAGUGUAAGCCAAAUAAGUCUC